AACGAACGCUGGCGGCAGGCUUAACACAUGCAAGUCGAGCGCCCCGCAAGGGGAGCGGCAGACGGGUGAGUAACGCGUGGGAAUCUACCCAUCUCUACGGAAUAACGCAUGGAAACGUGUGCUAAUACCGUAUACGUCCUUCGGGAGAAAGAUUUAUCGGAGAUGGAUGAGCCCGCGUUGGAUUAGCUAGUUGGUGGGGUAAAGGUCUACCAAGGAGACGAUCCAUAGCUGGUCUGAGAGGAUGAUCAGCCACACUGGGACGGAGACACGGCCGAGACUCCUGCGGGAGGCGGCAGUGGGGAAUAUUGGACAAUGGGCGCAAGCCUGAUCCAGCCAUGCCGCGUGAGUGAUUAAGGCCCUAGGGUUGUAAAGCUCUUUCACCGGUGAAGAUAAUGACGGUAACCGGAGAAGAAGCCCCGGCUAACUUCGUGCCAGCAGCAGCCGUAAAAC
rnacentral:rRNA from 1 species